AUACGUAGGGGGCGAGCGUUGUCCGGAAUGAUUGGGCGUAAAGGGCGCGUAGGCGGCCCGGUAAGUCUGGAGUGAAAGUCCUGUUUUUAAGAUGGGAAUUGCUUUGGAUACUGUCGGACUUGAGUGCAGGAGAGGUAAGUGGAAUUCCCAGUGUAGCGGUGAAAUGCGUAGAGAUUGGGAGGAACACCAGUGGCGAAGGCGACUUACUGGACUGUAACUGACGCUGAGGCGCGAAAGUGUGGGGAGCAAACAGGAUUAGAUACCCUGGUAGUCCACACUGUAAACGAUGAAUGCUAGGUGUAGGGGGUAUCGACCCCUUCUGUGCCGCAGUCAACACAAUAAGCAUUCCGCCUGGGGAGUACGGCCGCAAGGUUGAAACUCAAAGGAAUUGACGGGG
rnacentral:rRNA from 1 species